AUUUAAGAACACCCUCCUCCCGCUUUCGCUUUCGCGGAAAGGACAAGAGUGACUUGAAAUGUAGACGCGGAGGCCUAUGGGAAAUGUAGUUUUAAAUAGGUGAGGUUCACCGCCUGGACUCUGGGAAGGGGACGCCACGCUCCUUCUGCGCAUGUGCAGCCGUAGCCUCCUCGUUCGUCUUCUCAGGACUCCAGAGAACCGUUGGGGAACUUUGGGGUGUGCUCGGAAAAUGCAGGAGCUUCAGAGCAGAGACAAGAGCCCAGAAAGGAGCAGAUGCUAGAUUUGCAAGAUCAGAAGCAGGUCUUGAUCCUCCUGCCCAGAAUGAACCAGACUUGAUGAUGAUGCCACCUUCAGGAGCCACCACACUGUGUGACAGUGGGGCAUUUGGGCCGUCCCUGGGAAGUACAGAUGCGCUGCUGUCACACAUGUCCACCACCACAUGUGACAUUAGUGACGUUAUCCUGACGUCACAGGAUCCAAGAAUGAUGAUCUGUGAAGAGUUUUCCGAGGUCACCUACUUCUAACUCUUUUGAAAGAUUUAAAGACAUUGGGCCUGAAAAUUUCAGUGUCUUGUCCAGGGAAACGCAGUUUGUGACAGUUCACUCUCUCACAGCUGAACCACAGUCCUCUGUACUCGCCCAGGAGCCACAGAAAGUGAACAUCCCUCAGGUAUGAAGGUCUUCUUGAGCAUUUCCUAUUUGGGGUGUCUUGUGGCGAUGAACUACCUCAGCUUUUGUUUAUGUGGGAAAGGAGGAGAGUCUAAGGGAAGAGCUCACUCCGCCGUGAUGCUGAUGUCAUGCCUGGUCAUUCUAUUUUUAAGUUUUUGAGGAAUCUCUGUACUGUUUUCCACAGUGGCUGCACCAAUUUACAUUCCCACCAGCAGUGUAUGAGGGCUCCCUUUUCUCCACAUCAUCUCCAACACUUCUGUUUUCUUUGUAAAGAUUGGCACCUGAGCUAACAUCUGUUGUCUAUCUUUUUUUCCUUCUUGUUCUCCCCAAACCCUCCCAGUACAUAGUUGUAUAUUCUAGUUGUAUGUCCUUCUGGCUGUGCUGUGUGGGAUGCCACCUCAGCAUGGCUUGAUGAGUGGUGCCGUGUCCAGGCCCAGGAUCCAAACCGGCAAAACCCUGGGCUGCUGAAGUAGCGCACACGAAC
rnacentral:lncRNA from 1 species